UGUAAUAGACAAAAGCGACGCGCUCUUGAUCGACACUGUAUAUCUUGCUACACUGUCGAUGUUACACUAGCGAGGAGCUUGCCCGAUUGGUCAUGAUGAGCCGUUGCGCAAACGGCUAGUGUUUACAGCAUAGCAAUUCCUUCUCUAACAAAAAAGAGCCUUAACACGUGGCACCUUCAGCAGUUCAGGCUGCAAUGACCGCUGCUCCUAUUUUUUCCUGUCUCCACGACGCCACUACAAUCGCCGCCAUAUUUGUUGAAUACUUAGGAGCUUUAGUCUCGUAUCUUGUCUUGAUCUGCUCUUUUGACACGAAUAAUAAUAUAAUAGCGUGUUAUUGCAAUAUCAGUAUUUCUCAGAAAAGCUCGGGUUUUUAUUCACAGCAGCAGCAUUACAAAGGCAGGCCGAAUAUAAAAAAUGUGACGACGCCACAGGGGCUCUAGUUUCGUACAGCACAUGGCGGAAACUGUCACGGCGAGGCAAUUUUGCGAGACAACGAGAGUCUCUCGGGUGUGCGUGUGAUCAAGUUUUUGUGAGGAACCUGCAUGAUCUUGCGCAUGAAGUAAUUAUUUUUGGACAGUUCCUUCUCUGGACGGUGUUACAAGUACAGGCAAGCGGCUAUCAACGGUUGUUAUUGCUGUACUUUGUGGUGUUGUGAUUCACCAGUGCGGAUCGAAGAGCACCGUUUUCUCCAGCCCUGAUUCUACAAUUUGGAGAUGGGGUACAAGGAGAAGUGCAAGUGUAUUCCACAUCUUGAGGGAGAUGCAAGAUAUGCUUCCGCAAUCCUUGCUGCAAGUGUUCAAAUAAAUGGUUGCAAGUUUCA